UUAAGUGUAGGCUGUGUCAAAGUGUAGAUACUUUGUGCUGUUUCAGUGUCUUGGAGCAUUCAACAUACCUGCAUUUGGCCAAAAGAUGUACUAUGGGAAAUCUCCAUGUUUCUGAAGUGGCAGCUGGAGAUCAGAUACAAUAUUCUAGGAUUCCUACAGAAAUACGUGUAAUGGGUUGCAACGGAAUCCCAUUCCUGGACUACUCAGCUCUGCGCUCUUUGGACAGUCAAAUCUUUGCUAUGCGUAUGGAAAGGACCUUACAUGAGAAAGAUUCCUGUGUUCCUGGUGUUUGGGUGUAAUUUUGAAAUAAAAAUGAGAGUAAUAAUUUUCUUAGUAAUCCUACCUGGGAACCUGCAUCGACCUGGGACCCUAUGUCCAAAUGGAUCCUAUGCUGCAACUUCUUGGAUGGAACAAAAACUUCC